UCCCCGUUAUCCGGGGCGGUUUCGCUAGAGUGCCCGACUUGACUCGCUGGCAACUAACGAUAAGGGUUGCGCUCGUUGCGGGACUUAACCCAACACCUCACGGCACGAGCUGACGACAGCCAUGCAGCACCUGAGCAGGAUGGUAUUGCUACCUCGUUGGGCUUUCACCCUUCUACUACCUGCAUGUCCAGCCUGGGUAAGGUUCUUCGCGUUGCGUCGAAUUAAACCACAUGCUCCACCGCUUGUGCGGGCCCCCGUCAAUUCCUUUGAGUUUCAACUUUGCGGCCGUACUUCCCAGGCGGAAUACUUAACGCGUUAGCUGCGGUACUGAGAACUUGCGCUCCCAACAACUAGUAGACAUAGUUUAGGGCGUGGACUAC
rnacentral:misc_RNA from 1 species